UACAGAGGUCCCAAGCGUUGUUCGGAUUCAUUGGGCGUAAAGGGUGCGUAGGCGGCGCGGUAAGUCGGGUGUGAAAUCUCGGAGCUUAACUCCGAAACUGCAUUCGAUACUGCCGUGCCUGAGGACUGGAGAGGAGACUGGAAUUUACGGUGUAGCAGUGAAAUGCGUAGAUAUCGUAAGGAAGACCAGUGGCGAAGGCGGGUCUCUGGACAGUUCCUGACACUGAGACACGAAGGCCAGGGGAGCAAACGGG
rnacentral:rRNA from 1 species